CUUUCUUUGCUGGCGACCGGCGCACGGGUGAGUAACACGUAUCCAACCUGCCGAUGACUCGGGGAUAGCCUUUCGAAAGAAAGAUUAAUACCCGAUGGCAUAGUUCUUCCGCAUGGUGGAACUAUUAAAGAAUUUCGGUCAUCGAUGGGGAUGCGUUCCAUUAGGUUGUUGGCGGGGUAACGGCCCACCAAGCCUUCGAUGGAUAGGGGUUCUGAGAGGAAGGUCCCCCACAUUGGAACUGAGACGCGGUCCAAACUCCUACGGGAGGCAGCAUG
rnacentral:rRNA from 1 species